rnacentral:lncRNA from 1 species
CCUGUAAUCUCUGGUCUCCUCAGGAUGGGGGCGCCACAGAGGCUGAGCUGAGCGUGCCCUUCACCUUCCUCUCAUCAGCACCGUGUGUGCAGGUAAUGCCUUUCAUUUGCACUCUGUCCAUUCAUCAUUUGUUAAUACUGUGCUGUAGGGCAUGAACGAAGCAGAAGUGAUCUCAGACACUAAAUUUAACAGCUCUUCCUUAACUCAGAGGAGCUGAGCUCUUUGUUUUUGCACAAACCUUUUUUGGUCGUUUUUGAUGACCUUAGACCACUAUUGACUACAAUGUAGUGCACCACUAUUUCACAAACCGUGCUUGUAAAUGGUAGGCAGUGCACACUACUGUUCAAAAGUUUGGAGGCAGUAUAAUUUAUUCAUCAUCUUUUAGAAAGAAACUAAUAAUUUUGUUCAGCAAGUAAUAAUACACUGAUCAAAAACGACAGUAAAGACAUGUAUAAUGUGAAAAAAAAUACAGCACAACUGUGUUCAACAUUGAUAAUAAUGUGACUUUGACAAUUCAGCUUUGAUCACAGAAAUCAAUUAGGUUUCAAUAUAUAUUCACAUGGAAAACUACUAUUUUAAAAUAUAAUUUCACAAUAAGUACUUUUUUUUGUAAUUUGUGAUCAAAUAAAAAGCAUUGACAUUUUUACCAACCCCAAAAUUUCGACCAGUACUGUAUAUAUUGUGCAGAAUGUAGCAGUCUAGUAUUUCUUGUGAAAACAGCAAUGUUUCUGUGUCUGUCUGAUGUGCUGCUGUCCGUCCAUAGGUGUGGCGCUUGGAUUUCCAUGGAAGACAAAUCAUUUGCCCUGACUGUAAGUGUAAACAUCUAAAAUCAUUAACACACAAUUGCUGGCAGAUGGACAUAAAUAGUGGCACUCAUCCUGGACCUUCACAGUCACACACAGGCACUGGGGUCUCAUCCUCAGCACUGCAUUGACUCUUCUGGCUGCGGUGACUAUACUGGUCUGCAUCACAUGCUACCUGCUCAAAAUAAGCAGACCAGAUCGCUGUUUCUCCCCGGUGUGCUCCCGUACCUGUUCCUGUGUCCCUGAGUCUUCCUGUAUCGUCGUUUGUUCCUGGAUCUUCACCCAGCACUGGAUUACCGAGCACCGUUACGCGGAUUACACACGCACCAGGAUUCAAGGAAUCAUCACGGGACCGAGCACCAUCAUCUGUUGUCCACCGAAGUCCCUUUGUCACCAUUCCAUCAGCCUUGUGUCCGCCCACCUGUGUUUCCCUGUGAUUUGUCGUGCAUAUCUGACUUUUGUCUUCACAAAAUUGGAUUUACGUAACGCUUAUCAUUUGGUUCGCAUAAGGAAGGGGGAUGAAUGGAAGACCACAUUUAAUACCCCCAGAG